GGAAAAAAUGAAAAUGCAAGCCUCUUGUUCAGCAGCUGCUCUAUCUUCUUGAAUUCAUAACAAUGGCCUUUAUGGUCCCUGAUGCCUCUACCACCCUAUGUGGAUCCCUGCAAGGUCCCAGCCGUAAAGACUUCUCUCAAUUCUUCCUCGCCUGAACUGCCCCCAAGCUUUCCUGUGUCAAGCUAACCUUCUCCAGCUGCAGCACCAUCAAGAAAAUCUCCUCUC